UGGUCUGUACAGAGACACGAAUCAUUGGUCUGAUAUUUUGUUGUCUGAUGAGGAGAAGCAUAAUCUCUACACAUGGGAAAACAAAAACUCACCGUACAAUGCAGAAUGUGCUGCAGCCAGCUACAACAACCUAUUUCACAGCAGCACUAUACUAACACACAGAGUUUAUGGCCUGCAUUGUGGAAAUCAUUACUACUUCAUCUGCCAGGAUAUUAAAGAGAGCCAAACUCUGUAUGAGUAUAUACAGUAUAUUUUUAUACCCAAAGCAAAGACAUGGUCAGAGGCGCAGCAUUACUGCAGGGAAAACCACGAAGAGUUGGCAAAUAUCAACAGCUCAGUUCUGUACAGUGCUGUCCAGAAGGAGGAUUUUCCCAUCUGGAUUGGACUCCACAGACACGGU